UCUAAUGUGGCAGAAUAGUGCAAUGGACUUAAGCCCCACUAAUAAAGUCUAACUUUCUUUAGAA
rnacentral:tRNA from 1 species